UAAGUACUCCCUCCGUUUCAUAAUUCUUGUCAAAAUCUUACAUGUAUCUAGACACUUUUUAAGAAUAUAUACAUUCAUUUUUGAGCAAAUUUGAGACAAGAAUUAUGGAAUGGAGGGAGUAUUUA
rnacentral:pre_miRNA from 1 species